UGACAGCCCUUUUCUCACAGAGUUAUUGUGU
rnacentral:piRNA from 1 species